UCAAUUUGUAUUUUUUUGCAAGCCACUUGAGUCUAGUUUUGUGGAUUUGGAAGCAUCAACAUGAAGGUAAUUUUUUCUUCUUUUUUUUGUGCUUUUCUUGUUUUGUUGUCUUUUUUUUAGUUCAAGCGAGAUCCACGCAUGAAGAAGGCGGUUUUAGGGUAUGAGGGGAUGGGUACUUAUCCCUGUCCAAUUCUUGGAGAGAUUAAUGGCCCGAUUCUUGGAGAAAUUACUCUCAAAAUGGCCCGAUUCGUUGAGAGAUUACUCUCCAAAUGGCCCGAUUCUUGGAGAGAUAACUCUCAAAAUAGCCCGAUUAUCGGAGAGGCCAACUUAAGAUGCUAAGGGACUCAUAUGUCCACCUUAAGAUUGGAAAGUUAUAAAGCUUCAACUCGAAGACGACAUCAACUUGAACAAACCCACGAAGAGGCAAACUUAAGGUGCAAAGGGACUUACGUGUCCACCUUAAAAUUGAAAAGUUAUAAAGCUUCAACAUCGACUAUAACACUUGGAAAACUUUGAAGAUUUGAUAGACUUUGCAGACUUCAAUUUGAAGAUUCGGAGGGCUUAAACAAUUCAACUUUAAGACCGACAAAUUUGAAGACUGAAACUUGAAGACCGACGAACUUAAAGACUUCGACUUUGAGACCUGGAAGGCCAAAAUAUUUCAACUUGAAGAUCACCAAAUACUAAGACUUCAACUUGAAGACCGACGGACUUGAAGACUUCAACUUUGAGACUUGGAGGGCCUAAAUAUUUCAAUUUGAAGAUCAACGAAUUGAAGACUUCAACUUGAAGACCAACGGGGUUAAAGAUUUCAACUUGGGGACUUCAACUUGAAAACACUUGAAGACUUCGAGGGCUUAAAUGUUUCAGCCUCUUUUUUGCUUUACAUUGUUCGACUUUUAUCUUAGUCGCAUAAUUUUCAGCUUUACGUGCUUGUAACAAAUGAUUCAUAUCUUGUCGUGGGAGAGUCCAAAUAAUGAACCAUUUGAUUUUUCGAAAAUUAGACUUCUAUAUAUAAAAUAUAUCCAAUCAGAAUCAUCGCAAAUAAUAUUUUGAAACCAACUUUAUAUUGCACCUCGCUAUCAAUUCCAGAUUUGUGGUGUAG
rnacentral:lncRNA from 1 species